AGUCCCAGGAUGCACUGCAGCUU
rnacentral:miRNA from 1 species